UUAAUUUGACUCAACACGGGGAAACUUACCAAAUCCAGACAUAGUAAGGACUGACAGACUGAGGGCUCUUUCUUGAUUCUAUGGGUGGUGGUGCAUGGCCGUUCUUAGUUGGUGGAGCGAUUUAUCUGGUUAAUUCCGUUAACGAACGAGACCUCAGCGUGCUGAUAUAUGUACUGACAGACAGCCCACGUGGGCCAAAAUCAUCCACAGACAGCCAAAAUCACCCGAGAAGCCAAAAAUUCAAAAAUUAAUAUUUUUGAAAAAGGUCUUCUGAAAGGAAACAUCAAAAAUAUGUCAACAACGAGUUUCAGAUGUCAAGUGUUGAUCA
rnacentral:rRNA from 1 species